CAGAGUAGGGGAUCCUGCGUGAAGUGCUGCCAGAAUGGGGAGUUGUGUGGCAGACGAAGGGUUUCGCAUCCGCGAUGGGGUUCCCGCACCCGCUGC
rnacentral:ncRNA from 1 species